AUUCUCGUUGGCCUAUCAGAACGCAAGGUCACUGUUAAGACUAACCCCCUAUGGCUUAAGCGGUGCUAUCGGUGCAGCACCGAUUAUAGCACCGUUCCGCACCGAACUUCCCCGAUUCAUAUUAAUCGAGGAAGCUUAGCGGCGUCCCCGAUUAGAAUGUGAUCGGGGCCGAGCCAUAACCGCUAGGGUGUCAACACUGACGCACGGCAACGUCCUUGACGCGUCGUAUGCCCAAUCCCCAAGUCUUAUCUUUUUUCAUGGAAAGCAGACUGCCGUCUGCUGUCUCAAUUGAAUUACCUCGAAAUUCGAAAGAAACUCAUGCUUUGAUUAGUUAAAAACGUGUUUUUUACUUGGGGAUUUGGCAUACGACGCAUCAAGGACGUUGUCCUGCGUCAGGGUUGACAACCUAGCGGUGUUGUAUCAAAGCGCAACAGCUGCUUCGUUCCCAAACCUACUCACCCGAUAAAGGAGUGAAAAAUAUCUAUAGCAUCGACGACGACCAUAAAAAAAGCUUUCUCGUCUUUCUUGAGUCAUUUGCUACCAUGGGAGAACAUGUGCAAAGCCUAGGCUGCUUGUAAAAAUCCUUACAUUUUACUAAAGGGCCAUUGUGAAAGCUACUGUGUUUUUGAUUUGGUAAAAAUAAGGAAUAAAACUGGGUCAGCUGGGAUGUGGCAAAAGCGUCGAAUCGCUCAAUUUUUACCAGGAAUAAUACCCGUAAAUUUCUUUAUAUUGAUCGGCUGCUAUACUUUGGCACGAUGGACAGUCUGUUUUCAAUGCCAAAUGCUCAGAGCACACAUAUUUUAGUUGACAAGAAACCUGUUUUGCAAGUCACCUGCCCUUAUUUUCGCUCCCAUUUUUGAAAAUGCAAAUUACAAUACGAAUAGUUUUUUUCUA